ACGCAAGCGAAGAUCAGACAAGAGAUGGCUUCCUGUUCUUGGUGGUGUAGCUGAAAUGAAACUUCCUGCCUCUGAGAGCCAAGGUGAAGGCAGGCUCUCAGUUCGCUGUGUGACAUCACUCCCGUUUGCUUCACUUGAAACCAGAAGCAAGGUUUAGGGUUUGGGGAACAAGUCCAGGAAACUGCGUCUUCUGAUAAGACAGAUAAAGCGAAUGUAGUUUGAAACAGAUCAGCGUUUAGGGGGUUUAUAUUAGAAAUAGAGGUUAGGUUUGGCGUCCGAUUUGUUCUUCGUCCUCUUUUGGACCCGACUCGGCUUGAAUCGUGGGUGACCACACACACCCUUACGCCCCGGACAUGGCGGGUCUCCGAGGUCUGAUGAUCUUGCUGGUCCUGAUGGUUGGUUUGGCUCACUGUCAAGAGAAAAACACGAGUAAGUAGUGAUUCAUAUUUAGCCAAAAUAAAAUUUUGGUUAAAUAUGUAUUUAUUCAUUAAAUGCAAAUGCUUAGUUCCUAAAAGCCACCAGCUUUGCUUCAUGUUGCCCAAACCUUUAAAGCUGCUCAGUCUUCCUACAUUGUCUUCAUAUACAACCACCAGACUCAGAGACAGCGGCGGUUCUAGACCAAACUUACCAGGGGGCCCAGUGUUUUCUCCUGGGGUGAGGAACAAAAGAACAACAACAA